GACGAACGCUGGCGGCGUGCUUAACACAUGCAAGUCGAACGGAAAGGCCCUGCUUUUGUGGGGUGCUCGAGUGGCGAACGGGUGAGUAACACGUGAGUAACCUGCCCUUGACUUUGGGAUAACUUCAGGAAACUGGGGCUAAUACCGGAUAGGAGCUCCUGCUGCAUGGUGGGGGUUGGAAAGUUUCGGCGGUUGGGGAUGGACUCGCGGCUUAUCAGCUUGUUGGUGGGGUAGUGGCUUACCAAGGCUUUGACGGGUAGCCGGCCUGAGAGGGUGACCGGCCACAUGGGGAUGGAGAUACGGCCAGACUCCUACGGGAGGCAGCAGUGGGGAAUAUUGCACAAUGGGCGGAAGCCUGAUGCAGCAACGCCGCGUGCGGGAUGACGGCCUUCGGGUUGUAAACCGCUUUCGCCUGUGACGAAGCGUGAGUGACGGUAAUGGGUAAAGAAGCACCGGCUAACUACGUG
rnacentral:rRNA from 1 species